UGGGGAAUCUUGGACAAUGGGCGAAAGCCUGAUCCAGCCAUGCCGCGUGAGUGACGAAGGUCUUCGGAUUGUAAAGCUCUUUUGGCGGGGACGAUAAUGACGGUACCCGCAGAAUAAGCCCCGGCUAACUUCGUGCCAGCAGCCGCGGUAAUACGAAGGGGGCUAGCGUUGUUCGGAAUUACUGGGCGUAAAGCGCACGUAGGCGGUCCGUUUAGUCAGACGUGAAAUCCCCCGGCUCAACCGGGGAACGGCAUCUGAUACUGGCGGGCUCGAGGUCGAUAGGGGUGAGCGGAACUCCAGGUGGAGCGGUGAAAUGCGUAGAUAUCUGGAGGAACACCGGUGGCGAAAGCGGCUCACUAGGCCGACACUGACGCUAAGGUGCGAAAGCUAGGGUAGCAAACGGGAUUAGAUACCCAUGUAGUCCCUGAGCGGGCUGGCAAGGCGCAU
rnacentral:rRNA from 1 species